UUAUGACCAUAUCACAUUGGAACACUGGUUUCAUUACAAUCACCAAAGUUAAGCAUCAUCGAGCUUGGUCAGUACCUAGAUGGGUGAACACUUGGAAAUAACAGGUGCUGUAAU